GACGAACGCUGGCGGCGUGCUUAACACAUGCAAGUCGAACGGGUCUGCCCUGUUUUUUGCGGGGUGGGUCAGUGGCGAACGGGUGAGUAACACGUGAGUAACCUGCCCCUCACUUCUGGAUAACCGCUUGAAAGGGUGGCUAAUACGGGGUGUUCUGGCUGUGCCGCAUGGUGUGGCUGGGAAAGAUUCACUUUUGUGGUGUUUUGGUGGGGGAUGGGCUCGCGGCCUAUCAGCUUGUUGGUGGGGUGAUGGCCUGCCAAGGCUUUGACGGGUAGCCGGCCUGAGAGGGUGGGCGGUCACACUGGGACUGAGAUACGGCCCAGACUCCUGCGGGAGGCAGCAGUGGGGGGUAUUGCACAAUGGGCGGAAGCCUGAUGCAGCGACGUCGCGUGAGGGAUGGAGGCCUUCGGGUUGUGAACCUCUUUCGCCGGUGAAGAAGGUCCUACUCUUUGUGGUGGGGUUGACGGUAGCCGGGUUAUGAAGCGCCGGCUAACUACGUG
rnacentral:rRNA from 1 species